AUGGGGGUCGAGGAAGGACCCGAGGGAGUAGAGAGGAGGAGACUCGCUGCCCCCAUCCCGGACCCGCCCCACAUGAGAGCGGUCGCCCGCUGGGCGUCCCGGGAGGGGGAGAAACAGGGAGGGGAGGCGACGGCGGGGUCGCAGCCCCAGGAGCUCACGGGGAGGCGAGGGCCCCCGCUCCCCGACCGCUGGCUGGCGGCGACCGCGGCGGGAAGGAGCGGUUCCUGUGCUCCCUCCGCCCCCUUCCCUCGCCUUCUACUGACGCUGACGUCGGGUGCGGGAGCUGACGCGGCUGGCUGGGGAGGCUCCGGGCCGGGGCUCCGAGUAGAAAAGAGGAGGAGGAGGAACCAUGUCAGUUAUCCCUGGGACUUACACCAUCGAUAUCCCCAAGACAAGUCGGUUGUAAAUAAGAUGCAGCAGAAGUAUUGGGAAACCAAGCAGGCCUUUAUGAAAGCCACGGGGAAGAAAGGAGAUGAGCGCGUCGUUGCCUCGGACGCAGACCUGGAUGCCAAGCUAGAGCUGUUUCACUCAAUUCAGAGAGCCUGUCUGGACUUGUCUAAAGCAAUUGUACUCUAUCAAAAGAAAGUAUGUUUCUUGUCUCAAGAAGAAAACGAACUGGGAAAAUUUCUCCGGUCCCAAGGCAUCCAAGAUAAAACCAGAGUGGGAAAAAUGAUGCCAGCGACAGGAAAGGCCCUCUGCUUUUCUUCCCAGCAAAGGUUGGCUCUGAGAAACCCUCUGUGCCGCUUUCACCAAGAAGUGGAGACUUUCCGGCAUAGGGCCAUCUCUGACACUUGUCUGACGGUGAACCGCAUGGAGACGUUCAGGAAGAUGCAAACACAAGUUCGCCUUGCCAAAAAAAAGCUUUGACAAAUUGAAGAUGGAUGUGUGUCAAAAAGUGGAUCUUCUUGGAGCGAGCAGAUGCAAUCUUUUGUCUCAUGUGCUAGCAACAUACCAGACCACUCUGCUUCAUUUUGGGGAGGAAACUUCUCACACUAUGGCAGCCAUCCAUGAGAGCUUCAGGGGUUAUCAGCCAUAUGAAUUUACCACGUUAAAGAGCUUACAAGACCCUAUGAGAAAACCGGUGGAGAAAGAACAAAAGAGGAUCGACCAGCAGGAAAGCGCAGAGGCCGCGGCAGCCAAGUCAGUUACUUUCACUGGAGGAUGAAAACCAGCACAAGGAAUCCUCUGGUUUUAAAACCGAAGAUAGAAACAGGGUUGUAUCUGCCUUAGACCAAAGCUCUGCACACAACGCGUGCUCAGAUGAGCUUCUGGACAUGAAACCCGACGAAAGUGCUUCCGGGGCCCGAGGGCAGGGACCCCAGAACCUGAAGGUGCUGACAAGGACGACCUGCUGCUGUUGAGUGAAAUCUUCAACGCUUUCUCCCUGGAAGAGAGCGAGUUCAGCCAAGAGUGGGCCGCUGUGUUUGGAGACGGUCGGCUGAAGGAGCCGGCGCCCACUGCGGCCCCAGGAGAGCCGGACCCCAGGCCCCAGGCAGGCUCAGGAUUCCUUCCUUCACAGCUUUAGAGCAAAACAUAAAAGACUUACAGGCCUCGCUGGAAGAGCCUGCCAAGGCCGCCUCCGACCUGACUGCCUGGUUCAGCCUUUUUGCUGAUCUCGACCCACUAUCAAAUCCCGAUGCUGUUGGGAAAACCGAUAAAGAAUAUGAAUCACUCAGUGCAUGAGUCUGCUGCCUCCGUCUGGGAGGUGGCCCACGAGUGGCUCCAGAUCAACACGCUGGGGGCGCACGGAUGUAGGAAGGGAUCAGUAUGCUGUUCUAAUAUUUACGUGCCAUUUUAAUAAAAUGAAAGGGUCAGAGGCCCUGUUUAUGAAAAUAAAAUAAGAAUCUAAAAAGUUCAAACUUUUUAUAGUCAAAAGUAGUGUCAUUCAAAAAAAAGAAAAAAAAAGUAGUGUCAUUCAUAAAAUUCAGCUGAUUGUAUCUGAAUGUCAGUACCAUUCACAGAAUAAUCUCUGAAGGAAUAGUCCUCACAAGAAGCUGAUCAAUGGUAACUUUAAUUAUCAAAGUUUUUUUGUUUAAUGGUGAAGUGUUUUAAAGGUAGAAUUGUUAAUAGUAAACUGCUAAAGAAAUAAGCCAGUAUUGUUUUGUACUUUGUUCUUUUAGAAAUGUAUAUAAACUUAAUAAAGCCAUUGACUUAAAUGUUAAUAAUGACUUAAGUUCUAACUUUAAAAACUGUAUUUCCCCUUGCCCCAAAUACUAUAUUCUAAAGAUACGGCAAAAUUUCAGUGUACAGUUAUGUACAAUGUGAAGAUUGUACAGGUCUUCUGCAUUGCAGGUGGAUUCUUUAUUGUCUGAGCUACCAGGGAAGCCCAAGAAUACUGGAAUGGAUAGCCUAUCCCUUCUCCAGGGGAUCUUCCUGAUCCAAGGAUUGAACUGGGGUCUCCUGCACUGCAGGCAGAUUCAUUACCAGCUGAGCUACCAGGGAAGCCCUAAUUAUCACUUAAGUUCUAACUUUAAAAACUGUGUUUCCCCUUGCCCCAAAUACUAUAUUCUAAAGAUAUGAAAAAAAUUUCAGUACACAGCUAUGUACAAUGUGAAGAUUGUAAAUAUCUAAAACAAUAAUAAGAGUUCUAAACUGAAAUUGUAUUACUAUGACAAAUCUUGAACUUUCUUUUUCAAAUGAAAAUACAGGAGUUCAGUAUAUUGUUUUUAUUGGAGAUAGCUUUAGAUAAUAUUAAAGCAUCAUUUUGGUAGGUAAUCUUCCAGAAUUCUUCCUGUAUGUUUGCCAUCAAAGGAAAAUUUUUUGUGUAUAUUUUUUCUUAAAAUGUGUCAGUUUGUGCAUGCUGCUUUUUCUUUACUGUUUAAAUUGCAAAUGUAGUGUAUGACUGAAUUUUACUUGUAAAAACAUCAAUCUAUUUUUGAUUAACAUUCAAUCCCAAUACCUUCCCUAGAAGUAACAAUUGUUAACUUUCCAUUUAGUCACUUCCAUGUUUUCUGUGAAUGUACAUAUAUGUAAUUGCUACAAGAAAUGUAUAGCUUCAGUUUUUACAUAGAUAUAUGUAUAUCAUUCUGCAACUUUUCUAUGUGGUCUCUUUGAGUAUAAUCACACCUAAUCUUACCUGUUGAUUUUUGUAUAGUGUUCCACAACCUACUUAGCCUAUAAUGGACACUAGGGUAGUUUACUGCUUUUUUUUCUAUUUUCAAACAAUGCUAAAAGAGUACCGUCCUGUAUGACUGUGGGCAUAUAAGGGUUUCUCUAUUGUAUGCUUAAGCUUUGACUUGCUGAGCCAGAGUUAGGCAGUUUUAAAGAGAUACUUCAUUUGGCUUCCAAAAUGGCUGUUAGCUGUUUAAAGUUUCUCCUCAACAGUGAAUGAGUACCUGAUCUCCAUAUAAUUAAGGACAUUUGAUUUUUUAUUAAUUUUUUUUUAAUUUAUAGGUGAAAAAUUGUCAUCUUUAUUAUUUAGGAAAAACCUUUACUAGUAGGUAAAGGUAAAGAUGGACAUCUUUUCAAAUAUUGAUGGACAUCUUUUCAUAUAUUUGCUUUUGACAUGUGAAUUGCCUUUUGCCAACACUGCUCAUUUUUCUGUGAAUGAUUUGUCUUUUUAUCUCAUGGAUUAGUUAGGAGUUUUUCAUGUAGUUUGCAUAUAGAUAUUACUCUUUUACAUCUGUUUCAUUGUUUUCUUCCAGCUGGUCACUUGUCUUUUAGUUUUACUUUUGGUAUCUUUUUUAAAC